CUGGUCUGAAAGGCCAGACAGAUUUCUGAGCCUUUGAGAUGUUCCACGCUUGUUUGUUGAUCUGAGCACAAAAGGCAGUUUUCCUAGCACCGACUUAAAGGCUGCUAGGCCCUCAAGUUUCAAGAUGGCAGAGACAGGUCCAGUGUGGUGAGGAAC